rnacentral:ncRNA from 2 species
UACAGAUUUAAUAUUUUCAGUAUAAGGGAACACGGUUUAAAUCCGUGGCGGGCCCGCCGCUGUAACCGGGGACUUGUAUUCAAAGAGGCGAAAGCCCGGCCACUAUAUCUCAUAACAGGGAUAUGGGAAGGCCGUUGAAAUCAGGAACGAUCCGGUAGCCAGAAGACCUGCUGGAAAUAUUCAGUUCUG